CUUGGACCCACAGCAAAAUGGCCACUCGGUCACCAUCUUAAGUAUCUCCAGGCAUGAUACUGGCUGUGUACUUUGCCACUUAACCAACCUUCAGUUUACAGAGGAGGAAACGAAAGGACAGAAAGAUGAAUGAUUUUCAAUGGCAAGAAGUUACCAGCAAAGGUAUUCACCCAGAGAAAAUGCCAUUUGCAAGCCAAGGACAGAGGCCUCAGAAGAAACCAAACCUGCUGACACCUUGAUUUUGGACUUACAGCCUCCAAAACUCUGAGAAAGUAAAUUUUUGUUGUUUGA